CCAAUAGCGUAUAUUAAAGUUGUUGCAGUUAAAAAGCUCGUAGUUGAAUUUCGGGAUCAAUUUAUCGGUCGUGCCUACGGUAUGAACUGGUACAAUUGGUUUCUCCCUUCUGACGAAGCUCGAUGUCAUUAACUUGGUGUCGGGGGGAAUCAGGACUGUUACUUUGAAAAAAUUAGAGUGUUUAAAGCAGGCCUUGGCUUGAAUACAUUAGCAUGGAAUAAUGAAAUAGGACGUUUGAUCCUAUUUCGUUGGUUCCUAGGAUCGACGUAAUGAUUAAUAGGGAUAGUUGGGGGCAUUAGUAUUCAAUUGUCAGAGGUGAAAUUCUUGGAUUUAUUGAAGACUAACUACUGCGAAAGCAUUUGCCAAGGAUGUUUUCAUUAAUCAAGAACGAAAGUUAGGGGAUCGAAGACGAUCAGAUACCGUCGUAGUCUUAACCAUAAACUAUGCCGACUAGGGAUCGGAUGAUGUUAAUUUUUUAAUGACUCAUUCGGCGCCUUACG
rnacentral:rRNA from 1 species